GGAGGCAGCAGUGGGGAAUAUUGCACAAUGGGGGAAACCCUGAUGCAGCGACGCCGCGUGGAGGAAGAAGGUCUUCGGAUUGUAAACUCCUGUUGUUGAGGAAGAUAAUGACGGUACUCAACAAGGAAGUGACGGCUAACUACGUGCCAGCAGCCGCGGUAAAACGUAGGUCACAAGCGUUGUCCGGAAUUACUGGGUGUAAAGGGAGCGCAGGCGGGAAGACAAGUUGGAAGUGAAAUCCAUGGGCUCAACCCAUGAACUGCUUUCAAAACUGUUUUUCUUGAGUAGUGCAGAGGUAGGCGGAAUUCCCGGUGUAGCGGUGGAAUGCGUAGAUAUCGGGAGGAACACCAGUGGCGAAGGCGGCCUACUGGGCACCAACUGACGCUGAGGCUCGAAAGUGUGGGUAGCAAACAGGAUUAGAUACCCUGGUAGUCCACACUGU
rnacentral:rRNA from 1 species